UACGAAGGGGGCUAGCGUUGUUCGGAAUUACUGGGCGUAAAGCGCACGUAGGCGGAUUGCUAAGUCAGGGGUGAAAUCCCGGGGCUCAACCUCGGAACUGCCUUUGAUACUGACAAUCUCGAGUCCGGAAGAGGUGGGUGGAAUUCCUAGUGUAGAGGUGAAAUUCGUAGAUAUUAGGAAGAACACCAGUGGCGAAGGCGGCCCACUGGUCCGGUACUGACGCUGAGGUGCGAAAGCGUGGGGAGCGAACAGG
rnacentral:rRNA from 1 species